UACGGAGGGUGCAAGCGUUAAUCGGAAUUACUGGGCGUAAAGCGAGUGUAGGUGGCCGCAUAAGUCGGAUGUGAAAGCCCUGGGCUUAACCUGGGAAUGGCAUUCGAUACUGUGUGGCUAGAGUCUGAUAGAGGGAAGUGGAAUUCCAGGUGUAGCGGUGAAAUGCGUAGAUAUCGGAAGGAACACCAGUGGCGAAAGCGGCUUCCUGGUCCAGCACCGACGUCAGGCACGAAAGCGUGGGGAGCAACAGGG
rnacentral:rRNA from 1 species